GCAAACUUGGUCAUUUAGAGGAAGUAAAAGUCGUAACAAGGUCUCCGUUGGUGAACCAGCGGAGGGAUCAUUAAAGAGUUGAAUAAAAACUCCCAAACCCAUGUGAACUUACCUUCUGUUGCCUCGGCAGGUCGCCUUCUACUACCCCGUGAGAGCCUACCCGGUAGGACGUCCCUUUCCCGGUAAGAGAUUACCUCGUAAAGGGCCUACCCUGGAGACCCUCACCCGGUAAGGGAGGCGGUGCAGCCUGCCGGUGGCCCCAUACACCGAAAUUCUGUCUAAUGUGGUUAUUCUGAAUAGUUAUAACGAAAUGAGUUAAAACUUUUAACAACGGAUCUCUUGGUUCUGGCAUCGAUGAAGAACGCAGC
rnacentral:misc_RNA from 1 species